rnacentral:tRNA from 1 species
GCACUGAUCGCUUAAAAAAAGCAUUAGUUUUGUAAGCUAAAAAUGAAGGUUAAACUCCCUCUCAGUGCU